CGAAAAUCGGGGUCUUGAAGGCAGCAGGUAAUGAUAAUCUUUUUGUGUGUUUCCUUGUGACUAGUAGUUUCUAGUGCAUUGUGGAAAUAAUUGUUGGAGCUUUGGCUAACUUGUAAUUGCUUAUACAAGCAUGUAUGUGAAAAAAAAUAGAAGUUGCAUGGUGACUCGGGAAAGGGAAAGGUAACAUGCGUGGGAAGCAUGUACUUGUCAAAAUGGGGACAAGAUUGCAUCAUUAAUUAGUUUUGCUUUUCUUGUGUAUAUUGGCCCUUUACAGGUGGACGAAGCUGCAACCUACAUUUG
rnacentral:misc_RNA from 1 species